rnacentral:rRNA from 1 species
CCUACGGGAGGCAGCAGUGAGGAAUAUUGGUCAAUGGGCGCUAGCCUGAACCAGCCAAGUAGCGUGAAGGAUGACUGCCCUGUGGGUUGUAAACUUCUUUUAUAUGGGAAUAAAGUGCAGUAUGUAUACUGCUUUGCGUGUACCUUAUGAAUAAGGAUCGGCUAACUCCGUGCCAGCAGCCGCGGUAAUACGGAGGAUCCGAGCGUUAUCCGGAUUUAUUGGGUUUAAAGGGAGCGUAGGCGGGUUGUUAAGUCAGUGGUGAAAGUUUGCGGCUCAACCGUAAAAUUGCAGUUGAUACUGGCAGCCUUGAGUACAGUAGAGGUAGGCGGAAUGCGUGGUGUAGCGGUGAAAUGCUUAGAUAUCACGAAGAACUCCGAUUGCGAAGGCAGCCUGCUGGACUGUAACUGACGCUGAUGCUCGAAAGUGUGGGUAUCAAACAGGAUUAGAUACCCUAGUAGUC